UCCCGGCGCUCGGGGCUGCCUGGCGCGACCGGGCUUCCUGCUUUUGUUCUUUCUGUGCCCUCAGAGCAGCGGGCGGCGGGGUGACAUUGACGCUUGGAACACCCCACAACCCCCGCCCUGCAUAACCUUAAAAGAUUAAAACAAAAAAAAAAUGUUAAAGCUUUCUCAAUAAGAGGACGGUGUUUUCCUUUCUUUGCCGUCGACCGUAGCAAUAAGCAGGACCAUUUUCCCUUCUACUCCUGUUUGCUUCAAGGAAAGCUAAAAAUGGCCUGAAAACUGUUUUCAUUGAACUACUGAAUCAAUGGUAUAUGUAAAAAUAAGUCACUAUCAUCAAGCAUUAGCAGGAAAAUGUCCAGUUCUAGGAGAUACCUUGAUUCUUGCAGAAUAUCGAAAUAGGAAGCUUUAUAAGUGAUAAUCAGCACCUUGAAUUCCAUUGAGAAGCCUAUUAGGAGCCAGUGCAAUUAGCAGACUAGAGACAGAAAGUUAUUUGGUGGGUUGCUAAGUAUCAAUUUGGAAGUCUCUUAUCUGCUGACAGCUGCACUCUCUAGAUGUCAAGGAAUAGUACUUGCUUAAAGAAGAAAAAAUGAUGACAUAAUGUACAUAAUGGCAUGGGUCCAGGUUACAUGAGGAACUGUCUCACCCAGGAAGUCUUAAUGACUGUUGGCCCACUCCACCUCCGCCAGCAGAGAGGGCAUAUGUGGAUCCCAUUGAUCAAGAAAUUGUGACUGGCAGUGUCUAGGAGAAGAGCCUUCUCUGACGUGGCUCUUGCACUUUGGAACAUCUUACCAGCUCAGAUGGUGGAUAGAUACAGAGAAAAUCACCAUAUUUUCCCAAGCUUAUUAUAUCUGAACCAGGAAACCAAGACUCUGCUAUGAUGCCUCUUCUAACAGUUACUCUCAGGUUAUUAAUGCUAAGAGUGGGAAUUGCUAUCAAAUUGCCUAACAAUGAAAAGGCCAAAGUAUCAAAAAUUGCUAUUAUCUCUGCAACAAAGAUUAUAUGACAUGUGCGAAGAAAAAGCCAGAAUGAAUUCAGCGUAUGUCUCCUGAAGGCAAAUGAUAUUAACAAAUAUUACAAAAAGCAGUAGCAGUAAACAGAAAAUAUUUCAAGGUGUUCAGUUCCUUCUCUGCAGACGAGGUUUGACAUUUGUAUUCUCUGAGGGCCUCAUUUCCCUGAACAAUGGGGUAGUUUCAUGGAAGUACCUAUUUCAUUUGGGUUUUUUUUGAGAAGAAAAGUGGCUGGAAACAUCCUUUUUGCAAUAUCUGAAUAUAUUUAUUAAUAUCUAUUGCAUGUAUGAUAGAAAGGAACAGCUUAACAUUCAACAAUGACAAUAUUUACUUUCCAGAUCACUGAUCCUCAGAAAUGGGCCCUCUUAUUCAUCGCAAGUAGCUAAACAGACACUUCUGCCUUUCUUCAAUCUCUGCAUUUCAUUCCCUUAUCCCACUGGAUUCUAUAACCUUCUUCUUUUUUGUGCUGUUAAAGAAUUUGCUCAAAGAGUAUUGCUUUUUGUGGAGAGAAUUAUACAAAGACCAUCCAGUAAGGAUGCUGUAGAGAGGUAAAAAAAAGUAAACAUGGUAAUUACAAUUGCACAAGCAAAGCCCUGCUAUUUUUUAACAUGAAUUACAUAUUUAAGAGGCAUGAGCAUCACUCUGUUGUUGCAACCACCAUACUCUCCUUCUCCAUGAAUGAUGCUUCCCCCCCCUUUUCACAGCGGUCAUAACUCAUUUCUUAAUCACUGUGAAAUACUGUCUUCUAAUUUUGUUAAUGAAUUUCAAAUAUUUGAUCUGCUGAUAUGAUGGACAUGUAUCCUACUUUGUUAAAAUGGACAUCUACUGCAAGCAGUCCUAUUUGAAAAAUCCUCUAGGCCAAGCUCAAGAUUAAAAUCAAGAUCAUAACAAUUGUCCAACUUCAAUUAGCACUCAGACAAUAGGCUGCGAUAGCUGUCAAAUGGAAAUGUUCUACAUUUCUAUUUCAUUGGAGUAAGAGUUUCACAAUGUUCAUCUAUUUUUAUAAAUGAACAUAUUCACAUAUUAUGUAAAUAUGACUGAUCAACAGCAAACGUUAUUUAAUCUCUUCUAUGCAAUGCUCCCCCCUCCCCGCAAACUAGGGUUUGAUUUUGGUAAGCUUUUAGCAUUUGUGACAUCUCCCCCUCCAUUGUGUGCCCUUUUAAAUUAUCUACUGCAGGAAAUGGUCAAUCCCUUGUUGAUAUGAUUGCUUUGGGCUAAAUUUAGCUGACAACUAGCAAAUCUCACUGUUCAAUUGCUUUACAUGGAGAGGUGGAGUUUGCAUUUGAUCUAGCUACUUAAAUAACUGCUCUGGGAUGAAGAAUCCAGGAUAGAGGGGACCAUUGAAAAUCCUUGGGGUUUCCAGAGGAAAAUUGUUCCCUAAUUGCUAAUUUGCAUAUGACAGAAAGACAAAAGUAGUAAUUAUUAACUAGAAAGUUAUAUUGAUAUAUUUAAUGACAUUGAAUUUUAGGUUUGGUUCUGACCACACCCUCUCUUUUUAAAAAGUGUAACCACAUAAGGGGAAUCUAGUAGUCUUUUGCCAAAAAGAAGUUGUGCAGUUUUUUGAUUGAAGGCUGGCUAAUCUUCAAAAAGCAGGUGAGUCACUCAGAUACAGUAGUGUGCGUAUUGCCCAUAAAACAGGAAGGAUUUAAUAAUAGAGAAAUGUGUGCCAGAGUGACAGGUAGGCAGAUUUCAUUGUUUAGUUUUGGGUUUUUUUUCCUGUGCACAUUCUUAGCUCAUUCUGCUUAAGGAAAUUAAAUGUAAAAAAUAAUAGUUACAAUGGUUGUUGUUAUUAUUGUUAUCACUGUGAAGUGCGUUGUAUGUAAAAGGAAGAUGUUUUAGAAUACACUUGGUGCACACAUAAGCACCUCUUGGCAACUCCUUAAAUCCUAUACAUCUUUUUUUGAGACUGCCCAGCACUGCAACUGCAAAAACAAAAAAAAAACAAAAAGUCCACUAAAAAUAUACGAUCCUGUAAAAUUCACUGCUGCUUUAGGGAGUUCAUAAGUGUUAUAUGAGCACCUAUGCAUGGUGCAAAGCAUCUUUUCUUUCUCUUUGAAUCCAAAGCACAAUCUUGAUAAUUAUUCUUACAGCUCUAUAAAAAAUACCUUCACAUUCUACAUUUUUAUAAACUAAUGAUUUAUUAUUAUGUGCUGUCAGGUCAGUGUUGGCUCUUAGUGACCAUAGAAAUAGGCCUUCUGCAGGGUCACCUAUCCUUAGUCUGCCUCUUCAGCUUUUCCUUUGGUGCACCAGGUACUGCCAUAAUUAAGCCCAUGAAACUUGCUUUGUUGUUUUCUUCUGUUUCCUUCUAUCUUUCUUGGCAUUAUAAGCUUCUUAAAAAACUUUGUAUAAUCUAUCUGAAGCAGGAUGAUUUGAUGAGUUUAUAUUAUUCUUUUGUUUGUUUCCUUUAUUAUCCAUGGUAUUGUCACAAGUUUGAAUACCAAAAUUCAAUAUAGUCUGGUCACGAACAGUUCUGGUCACGAACAGUUCUGACCAUGACCAAAUCAUGUUCUGACCCAAAAACUCACGAUUUUUUUGCAGCCGAUUUCCCUUGAAUGAAUUGAAAUAAUUCACGAGAUGGAAGUUACAUAAUUAUAUAAGUUACAAAAGUUUCACAAAUAUGUAAUGGAAUUGGUAGCACUAAUUAUUUAUGCAAAUAUUUUUAAAAAUAGGUUUUUAAAAGUUAUGAAGUGUCUGAAUGUACCUGUUGGUUACAUUGAAUGGAAAAUAUACUUUGCAGAUAGUGGAGCCCUGGUGGAACAGUGGUUAGAAUACAAUGUUGCAGGCAAACUCUGCUCAUAGCCUGGAGUCCAAUCCUGAUAGGGCUUGAGGUUGACUUGGCCUUCUAUCCUUCCAAGGUCAGUAAAAUGAGGGCCUAGUUUGUUGGGGAAAAUAUGCUGACAUUAUAAGCUGCUCAGAGAGUGCUAUAAAACACUGUAGAGCAGUAAAUAAAGUAUCUCUAAAUGCUAUUGCUAUUCUAUCACUAUUUCGACAAAGGUUAUUUUCUUAUGAAAGAAGCAACAGUUUCAAUAAAGGUAAACAGAAAUGCCACUGUGUCAUCAAAUAGUACUUGUUUAUAGAAUCCUGCCUUUUUUGCAUAAAUAAAGGGGUGUCUUGGGGUGUGUUUUGAUAUUGAUGUAAUUUCCCCACAAUUUGAUGCAAAUAUAUUUGAAAGAUAUUGUUCGUCCCUCAAAUGAGUUACGUUGUAUUGCCAUUGCAUUGCUUUCUGACCUGAUUAUUUCUGCUUUGUGGGUUCCAUGCCUCACUAAACAGUGUGACUCUAUGUAUUAUACAUCUGUCUCACUGUAAAUAUAAUGCCACCUUUACAGCCUAUAAUUUCAUUCCUCUUUGUUAGUUAAUGAAACUCAGGAUGUUUUCCAAAAAUGAUUUAAUAUUAACAGGGAGUUGAACAAAGUCAAGAUGGAAGCCAUCAAACAAUUCUAUGUAAAAUUGGAAAUGCUUUGAUUGUAUCCAUGUAAUCUCUGUGUUGAUUUAUUGUACUUCUUCCCUGUAGAUACCUCUGCCUAUGAUCCAUUUUGCUUCUUUUGCCAGCAGGGAAAGAUUGUAAGCAGGUGAGAAGAGACUAAGUUUAGGUAGAGGCACAAACCUUCUAAUUUCUAAUUCUUCAAUAAAAAAAGAAAUAAUGCUCCCUC